rnacentral:sRNA from 1 species
GCCUAGAGGGAGAAAACUUGUUGAAAUUCAGAGAUCCUCCUCCCCCUACCAAUACACACCAAAUCAGACGCCUCUGACCAGAUCUGAAUUUGGCUCUCAGAGAUUUCCAUUGUAGCCAGGCAGUUGGGGCACUUUCUGAGUGCUGCCUCCACCUCACUGUCCCCAGCCUGCCUGCCUCGGUUUCCCUAGCCCUGGGCGUGUGCCGCUGUCACCAUCACCUGGGCGCCCUCUAGUGGAUGAAUCGGAUUAUGCACUAUGGGGCUUGGAGCAGGAUUCAGAAGGGGCUCCUGUCCUUCCUUGAAAUGCUGGACGCCGGGAUCCUGGAACAGCUCUUCAGGUCUCUGCAUUCCUCCUGGCAACAGCCAGAGCCUGGGCGCAGGGGGCUACUGUUGUUUGAAGGCUGCAGCCUGGUAGGGCACUCAGGAGACCUGGCAGUUGGCUGCAGGGCCAGGUCUAGGGGCCAGGGCAUGAGGGAUGCUCUGGGCUGGCUCAGCCCCGGGCCCCCAUGCAGAUUGUGACUGUGGGGGCAUGGCCACAUGAUGUUGAGGGGGGUCUCUGACCCUGACCUUGGCUCUGUGCAUCCUUGAAACCAGAAAGGUCUGGAACAAAUGAGUGAACAAUGCCCUAACUCGGGGAGGGAGCCACAUCCUGACCCCAGCAGCCUCAGAAGGAUCCGUCUCAGGGUUAUGGGGCACCCUGGGGGCCCCGAGUCUGCAUGGGUCUCCACGUGCAACUUCUGCAGGAAGCUCUGAAAAAUCCCAACUGGGGGGGUCAUAGGACACAAUCAGAAAUGCUGAUGCCGCUGUGUGUGGAUCCCCGGGCCCUGGGGGUCAGGAGCAUGUAGAAGGUGGGCCACAGGGGGUUCAUAAGAGAAUCCUGUAACCGCCCCUGCCCCCCAAACUUAGCCCACUGGAGGGCCAUGGGUGAAAGCUUGGGGGGUCUCCAUGUGUCCUGUGGAGUGGGUGGUGAGGGGUCUUUGGGUUUACAUGCUGCUGGGCCUGAGCAGCAGGACCCCGUCCACAGCUGAUCCCUGGGCCCUGCUGCUCAGCUGCUCUCUCGAGUGUUGCUGUGGCUGCCGAGAGAGCCUGAGUCGAGCCUCUCUUGUGCCGGCCGUACGCUGUCAGGCCACGCUGGUGAGUUUGGCAAGGCACAGAUGCCCAGAGCAGAGAACUUUCCUUGGGGAUUUAAUAUGUGCGAAUCUUGAGGUCUGGCAAAUCUUUCCCUCAGCUAGAGAGGGGGUUUUUGAGACCAGAAUCACCUCAGCAUCCUCCUGUCCCCAGCUGUGUCCAGCCUGUCUGCAGGGACAUCCUGAGAGGACCAGGCUCUCCCCUCAUCCACCUGCGUAAGUGCCACCCUGAAGCCUGUCCACCCAUGCUUGGAGAGGCUUGGCCUCAACCUGCUUAGCCACCAGCAGGCUUGGGCCUGGGGUGCAGCAGAGACCCAGGUGGCUGUGGGGUGGUUGCUUCAUGGGGUGGUUCUGAAACGCAGUUGGAAGUGCGUGAACAGUGCCUUACCUGUUCUCUGUGGGACCCUGUUUAGAAACCAGGUCUGAGUUACUGGGGGUCAUCGCUACAUUCUGAUGGCCUAGCUGUGUGGAGGCCACGGUGGAGCCCCAUCCAAGGAGCCAGGGCCCUGGGUCUAGCCGUGACCAGAACGCAUGCCCUGGAGGUGUUUCUUAUCUUGCACCUGUGUUGCCUGGUGUGUCAAGUGGCCACAAAACUCUGUGUUAGCUCUAGGUGCCCCUGGGCUUCGGAACCAGGGUUUCCCUUCAUCUCGGUGACCCGGGAGCAUCUGGGCAGUGAGUAAAGAGGGUGAUUUACUUGAUGGGUACGUCUGGUCCUGCCUAGGAGCCCCCCCAGGCACGGUCCUGGGACCUGAAGCUGCCCUUGGUGGUGGAGGGGAGGGAGAGAGCUUCAGGGAUGAGGUGGCGUUCAGCUGGGCGGGAAGGGUGAGCCCCUGCCAGGUGGGGUGGGUGUGCUGGGGACGCUGAGCAGCACGGCCAGCAGGUGGGUCUUCAGCUCGGUACCUGGUGGGACUUGUGGUUGGGGCUGGUGUGUGGCCAGGAGAGGGGCUGGCAGAAGACAAGGUGGACUGUGAGGCAGCUCCCAUCCCGCGGUUGAAGCCUGAUGGCCUGGCUGUGUGGCUCUCAGCUGGGUGCAUAACCUCUCUGUGCCUCAGUUCUCUCAUCUAUAAAAUGAGAAAACAGUGCCAGCCUCCCAGACCUGUCAUGAGGAUGAACAAGUGACCAUGUAGCAUGGGCCGGGUGCGUGUCACCUAACAUUACCAGCCUUUGCAAGGAGAGCCCUGGGGACCUGGCUGAGUUUUUCCCUUGCCUGGCCCACCCCAGGUGUGCCUGCUGCAGGCCCCUGACCCCACUGCACCUGUCUCCACAGGAGCCGAGAAGGUACUGCUGCUGGCCCAGUAGACGGACCAAUGGAGGAUCUCGCUGGACACACCGGACUUCACCGACAUCGUGCUGUAGGUGGACGACAUCCAGCAUGCCAUCGCCAUGAACUAUGACCCAAUGGAGGGCCACGUCUACUGGACGGAUGACGAGGUGUGGGCCAUCCGCAGGGCAUACCUGGAUGGGUCUGGGGCGCAGACGCUGAUCAACACCAAGAUCAACGACCCCGAUGGCAUCGCAGUCAACUGGGUGGCCCGAAGCCUCUACUGGACCCACAUGGGCACAGAACACAUCGAGGUGACGCGCCUCAGCGGCACCUCCCACAAGAUCCUGGUGUCAGAGGACAUGGACGAGCCCCGUGCCAUUGCACUGCAUCCCGAGAUGGGCCUCAUGUACUGGAUAGACUGGGGAGAGAACCCUGAAAUCAAGCGUGCCAACCUGGACAGGCAGGAGCUGCGCGUGCUGGUCAGUGCUUCCCUUGGGUGGCCCAACGGCCUGGCCCUGGACCUGCAGGAAGGGAAGCUGUACUGGGGAGAUGCCAAGACAGACAAGAUCGAGGUGAUCAGUGUCGAUGAGAUGAAGAGGCAGACCCUCCUGAAGGACAAGCUCCCACACAUUUUCAGGUUCACCCUGCUGGGGGACUUCAUCUACUGGACCGACUGGCAGCGCCACAGCAUCACGCGGGUACACAAAGUCAAGGCCAACCGGGACGUCAUCAUUGACCAGCUGCCCGACCUGAUGGGGCUCAAAGCUGUGAACGUGGACAAGGUCGUCGGAACCAACCCGCAUGCGGACAGGAAUGGGGGUGCAGCCACCUGUGCUGCUUCACACCCCACACAACCCGGUUUGGCUGCCCCAUCUAGGGCCUGGAACUGCUGAGUGACAUGAAGACCUGCAUCAUGCCCAAGGCCUUCUUGGUCUUCACCAGCAGAGCCGCCAUCCACAGGAUCUCCCUCGAGACCAACAACAACGAUGUGGCUGUCCUGCUCUCGGCGUCAGGGAGGCCUCGGCCCUGGACUUUGAUGUGUCCAGCAACCACAUCUACUGGACAGACAUCAGCCUGAAGGUAGCGUGGGCCCGAACAUGCACACGUGCAGCCUAUAUGGGAAAACCUUGCCUCUGUACCUGCCUCAGGUUUCAGACAUUUUUCUUAAAGCACUAUAAUAUUUAUUGUAACACAAUUCAAGCUAAUUAAAUAUUAGCAAGCCUAUUUAAACAAAAAUAGAUGAUUAUAAUGAGCAAAUCCGGUAGACACACA